rnacentral:rRNA from 1 species
GACGGUUGUCCCGGUUUAAGCGUGUAGGCUGGUUUUCCAGGCAAAUCCGGAAAAUCAAGGCUGAGGCGUGAUGACGAGGCACUACGGUGCUGAAGCAACAAAUGCCCUGCUUCCAGGAAAAGCCUCUAAGCAUCAGGUAACAUCAAAUCGUACCCCAAACCGACACAGGUGGUCAGGUAGAGAAUACCAAGGCGCUUGAGAGAACUCGGGUGAAGGAACUAGGCAAAAUGGUGCCGUAACUUCGGGAGAAGGCACGCUGAUAUGUAGGUGAAGCGACUUGCUCGUGGAGCUGAAAUCAGUCGAAGAUACCAGCUGGCUGCAACUGUUUAUUAAAAACACAGCACUGUGCAAACACGAAAGUGGACGUAUACGGUGUGACGCCUGCCCGGUGCCGGAAGGUUAAUUGAUGGGGUUAGCGGUAACGCGAAGCUCUUGAUCGAAGCCCCGGUAAACGGCGGCCGUAACUAUAACGGUCCUAAGGUAGCGAAAUUCCUUGUCGGGUAAGUUCCGACCUGCACGAAUGGCGUAAUGAUGGCCAGGCUGUCUCCACCCGAGACUCAGUGAAAUUGAACUCGCUGUGAAGAUGCAGUGUACCCGCGGCAAGACGGAAAGACCCCGUGAACCUUUACUAUAGCUUGACACUGAACAUUGAGCCUUGAUGUGUAGGAUAGGUGGGAGGCUUUGAAGUGUGGACGCCAGUCUGCAUGGAGCCGACCUUGAAAUACCACCCUUUAAUGUUUGAUGUUCUAACGUUGGCCCGUUAUCCGGGUUGCGGACAGUGUCUGGUGGGUAGUUUGACUGGGGCGGUCUCCUCCUAAAGAGUAACGGAGGAGCACGAAGGUUGGCUAAUCCUGGUCGGACAUCAGGAGGUUAGUGCAAUGGCAUAAGCCAGCUUGACUGCGAGCGUGACGGCGCGAGCAGGUGCGAAAGCAGGUCAUAGUGAUCCGGUGGUUCUGAAUGGAAGGGCCAUCGCUCAACGGAUAAAAGGUACUCCGGGGAUAACAGGCUGAUACCGCCCAAGAGUUCAUAUCGACGGCGGUGUUUGGCACCUCGAUGUCGGCUCAUCACAUCCUGGGGCUGAAGUAGGUCCCAAGGGUAUGGCUGUUCGCCAUUUAAAGUGGUACGCGAGCUGGGUUUAGAACGUCGUGAGACAGUUCGGUCCCUAUCUGCCGUGGGCGCUGGAGAACUGAGGGGGGCUGCUCCUAGUACGAGAGGACCGGAGUGGACGCAUCACUGGUGUUCGGGUUGUCAUGCCAAUGGCACUGCCCGGUAGCUAAAUGCGGAAGAGAUAAGUGCUGAAAGCAUCUAAGCACGAAACUUGCC